UUAGGGCUCCCGGAAGGUUUACUGUCUUCGCCUCCUGCAUCCCGGGAUCAGACUCUCGGGAGGCCUCUCCUCAUAACUCACGGACAGCAAAGGCCAUGCCUGGAGGGGUCCAGGAGCACGAGGACGGAGAAGUCAGGCGGGCAGACACCCGGAACCAUUGUUCGCGGGUGUUUGUUUCCCGCCGGGGCGGAUUUCUGGGGCCGCGUCUGGCCGAGACGGAGGUAGGAGUGGGAGCCGUCUCCGGGCUCUCCGAGUCCACCACCCCGCGCGGCGGACCUCCUGGGGCCGCCCCUCGAGCCUCUUCCCACCGCGCUCGGACCCGAGAGACCUCCGCACCGCGAGCCGGCGCCGGGAGGUAGGCGCUGAGCUCCGGGCGACCGGAGAGGCCCGAGCGGUGCGUCCGCUGGGUCACUCGCUUAGACUCGAGGGCGCGGGAUGGAGAGGCUUUGAGCUGGUGAAUUCCGGAGAAAGAACUUCAUCUACUCGCCCGUCUGUCCUCCCCUCAGCCUCCCAAAGUGUACCUUGACCCUGAAUCUCUCUGGAGGCCAUGGGCCUCUCCCUCCCUAGGGUGGUCCCCGCCCCUAAGCCGGCCCCCUCCUCUUCCUCCACCCCCGCCAUCCCCAUCCCGCGGCCUCAGCCCGCCUCUCAGGGGCCGUCACCUGCUCCCUGACGGGAAUGGUGUUCCCUAUACGUGCACACGGAGGAGGCCCCCUGGCUGGAGCCCAACACCCCCCCACCCCGCUCCGCAAGGCUUCAGUUGUCCCCAGUGUUUUCAGGUCUUCAAGAGCUGCCCGCACCGCAGGAGCUACAGCAUCUCCCACUCAGAACUCCGGCCCUUCGUCUGCGGCAAGGCCUUCAAGCGCCCCGGCGAGGUAUCGCUUCAUUCGCCAGCUCCGGUUGGGUCGGGCUCACACCUGCCCGCUGUGUUCUGGCGUUUUCAGGAUGCCGGGCAGCAGGCGCAGCACGUUCUGGACCACUUGGCUGGAAGGAAUUUCCUGGACCAUGGAGAGACUGCAGGGGCUCCAUAGAAUCUCUUGUUUCUGGUACAGAAGACCUUUGCUAGGUUCUGAGGGUAGAAUGUUGCCUAGGACAGAGCUGGAAAAGCAGGCAGUAAAGUAGCAAAUCCAAAAACGAGCAAGACCACUACGGACUGCAGUACGAGAUGCGGAGGGAAUGGCCUGACCAGACGGAGCAGGGCCUCACCUGCUCACCAGCUUGAGCUCUGACACAACCAGCAGCCGCUUCAGUGACGAAGGAUUACUCGAGUUGAGACCUGAAUGGCCAGAAAGGGUGUGUCCUUGUGAGGGGCUGGGAGGAGUAUUCCAGAGGGCAGAACAGCAAACACAAGGCCCUGGAAGUAGGCCAGGUGGGCUGGCUGAGUUUUAUUCCAAGUGCAGCAAGGAGGGUUUUAGGUCAGGUGAUGACAUGAUUCUGUGGGUUAGCGUAAUUAUACUGCUGCAGUGUUGCCAUAGAGAGAAGGGACGGGGGGGGGGGGUUGCGGUGGGGAGGCUGUCAUGGUGAGCUGGGCCGGUGGCGGCAGUGGGUUGGGGAGAAGCAUGAGGUGCUUGCAGACAGUGGCCAUGAGCUCUGACUUGGUCAGUUAGAAGCACGUGCUGUCCAGCGGAUGUGUGACCUCUCGGAGCUCCUGUUUCCUCAUCUAUAAAAUAGGCAUCCGCAUGGCACCUCCCUCCUGGGUCUGCUCUGAGGGUUCAGUGCAUUUAGCGAUGGCUGGCACCAUAGGAAGGGCCCAAUAAACGUUGGUCCUUGUCAUUAUUUCCAGAGUUCGAGGUGGGCUGGGCUGGGCUGGGCGUGGCUGGGCGUGGCUCUCAUGGACAAAGCAAGUUUCAUGGGUCUGAAACUCAAGCAAGGGAUCUGGGUGGGAGACUCCUGUGGUAGUUGUGUGUGGAGCCCAGGAUCUAUGCUGCCCCCUGGGGGACAUUUGGCCAAGUCUCUUGUCACAGCUAGGGGGCAGUGAGAUUGAGGGGUGAGAGACGGUGCUCCUGGCAUCUGAAGCGUGGAGGCCAGGGACGCUGCUCCAUGUCCUGCAGUGCACAGGACAGCCCCCCACAACAAAGAAUGAUCCAGCCCCCAAAUGUCAGUAGUGCCAAAGUUGAGAAGCCUGGUGCAGACAGAAGGUGUAAUUACCCCUUUAAACCGCGCACACCCUUCCAGUUCACCAGUUUCCACUCUCCCUACUGCCCCCCACCCCAUAAAAUUACAAAAGAGGAAGAACCUCUAGGACAACAGUUUCCGGUAGAGAGCCAUGCUUUAAAAAGUGAAGAGGAACAGCUGAAAUUAAUUUAAUAACAUACUUAACCAGUCAGUAGACCCAGAGCAUCAUUUCUAAAUGUUAUCAACAGAGAAGUCAUUCAUGAGAUACUUUACACUCUUUUCAUACUCAGUCUUCAGAAUCUUUUAGGUGUCUUGCAUUUAUGACACAUCUCAGUUCAGACCGGACACAUGCCAAACGCUUAAGAGCUAUCUGUGGCCGGUGGCUGCCCUUUAGGACAGCACAGUUCUGGAGGCUCUUUAAUUGAAGCCUAAGAUCACAGUUGUUGGUUCACUGGAGGUUUCUUGAAGGUUUUCUGAGAAUGCUUAAUCGCCUCAUCUAGAGACUUUUUUCUAUAGCUGGCAAUGUGUGUGUGCAUCUUCUGGCUUUUUAAAUAUUGCCCAGUAAAACAUUAAGACAUAUCUGUGAUCCAAACCAAAUAUAACUGUGCCCUCUCUGGCCGGCGGGUCUCCAGUUUGCAACUGGUUGAGGGUGGCUUAGGAGCUGUACCGUAAGGUGGGCAGCGGUUAGCCACCUGUGGCUAUUUAGAUUUAAAUUAAGAGAAAUGAAAUACCAUUUAAAAUUCAGGUCCUCAAGCCCUAGCCACGUUUCUAAUGAGCAAUAGCCUCACGCGGCUAGUGGCUGUCCCAGUGGACAACGCGCAGAUCAUAGAACUUUUUCAUCAUCCCAGAAAGUUCUUUUCGGCAGCUUUCUCGGACGCAUCUCUGGCCAAGCCGGGGUCCUUGGUGUGGGCGCGACCGUAACGCCAGUUCUCUCCCUUCUGUG